ACAUCUGUGGGAUGGCAGGCAAUGCCAGAUCUCCCAGCUCCAAAGGCAGGACUGAAACAGGCUGAUUUCUGCAGGUAACACUACAGAAACCAACCUGGGUCCAGCUGCCUCCCAGGUUCCCUCCCAUACAAACAAUUUCAGGGGAGGUGAGAUUGCAUGACAAAUUCAAUUAGAGAUAAGCCUGAGGGGGGAAGAAGCUGUCAAAACAGAUGAUUAAAAUGAAUGCAGUUUACAGCCAAGGGAAGCAACCAGCAUUAAGUCAUGCCCACAAGCAAGGGAAAAUAACAUGCUAGAAACUAAGAGAGCUUCCAGAGGAGCUUCUGUCUGCACCUUCCUCAGUGUCUUCUCACAUUUGCACCUUGCCAGACCUCUGCAUCAGCCCAGCCACAACAGACGUCUCCAGAAGUGCAGAGAAGACAAUUGAUGCCUGCUUGACAGGAGGCAUCUACUGAUUCCCCAGGGCCUCCUAGGGAGUACUGGAUGUGGACCACUUUCCUGCGCUGAGAAUUCCCACACCAGACCUCUGACCUCAUGAACAUUUUAGAGCUUUUUUGCUCUUUCACCACUUCAUCCUUCUAAUGCAAGUAGUGCCUGGCACCCAGGAGGGAACAAGCCUGUGGUUUUGGAGGACUUUUUUGACCUUCCCACUUAGGGCUUUGCUGGCAGCAGAGGCAGAUGUGUCCUGAUGAUAACUUAUUUCAAUCUGCAGAGUGAGACUUUCCUGUGCAUUUAGAAAAGGACAGAGUUUUGGGUUGAAAAAGCCAAUGUAUAUAAUUAACUGAAACUGUAAAAACUGCCAUAGAAAGUGGCUGAAUUAAUGUUUUCAGGGGCAUUUGGAUUCACUAUUAAACAGCUAACAAAAGAAUUAGAGAAACUGGAUGGCCUGGAUGGGAUGGACUUCAGCCACCUGAACAAAGACCACAUAAAUUGUCACAUCAGCUGUGCACAUAAAUAAAGGCAGUUUGUCCCUGGGCUUAGGUCUCUACUGAUGGCUGAGGAUUCAAAAGAGACAGGUAAUACAGGCCCUGUUUUAAGGUUGCAUAUGAGUAAGGUAGUGUAAAUUGUCUCAUCUUCACAGUCUUUCCAAGGUUCUCCAUUUCCUUUUUUCUGUUCCCACAACAGAAGUUCAGAACAAAGGAGGAAUUGGAAAUGUCAAAAUAGCUGUUUCUUUCACUAUGCUGUAACUAGACAGAGGAAGCUUUAGAGGGAGGCAGGGAGGAGAUAGCAAAUGUAUUCACAGGGCAUAAUGUAUCACCUCCAAACAAUGAGCCCAAUUUUAUGCUUUUCAGAUUUUUUGAGAUGAAUAUUUGUGGAUUUUACUAUGUAAAAUAAUAUACUUUCCCCCUGUACAUUCAUUCUGUUUGUUUUUUUUUUCCUUGUUUUCUUUUAGUGCAAUAAGACCACUGUUGGCAUCUGACUUGUUAGAUUUCAACUCGAGGUUCAACUACAGCGCAGAAUUUUAUAAUGACAAGGUCUGGCCCAGGCUAACAAUACAGCUGGGCUCCCCCCUCAACCUGUACUAAGCACAGGGUAGGUGAAAGUCUGUGGUUCUCAAGCAAUAUUGAAGUCUCAAACACAAUUUCAGCCUUGCCAUGCAAACUGACAGGGAAUUCACAGCUGCAUGCUCAUUUAAAAAAUCUCCCCACUGCAGGCAUCAAAACCUCAAGGCCAAAUUUCCUCUGCAUGCUCCCACCCUGGCACCGACAUGGUCCCAGAGCUGCAGAAAACACAAUCUCUCUCUGUCUCCAGGCAAAACCUCUUCCACAGCCCAAGUUACACAGGUCAGUCUUUUUACUAGGUUAUUAAAGAUAUUCUGGUUGUCUGUUCUGCUUUAUUGCAUCAGCAAUUUCCUUUCCAAAAUCCAGUCUUUUCACUUGGCUUCUUAUUUAAUUUUCCAAAUAAUUUCCACCAUGCUAUCAGGAGAAACUUCACAGUGCAGCCACCCACGUUCCCUCUCCAGUGCUGCAUUCCUCCCUGUUGAGGAUGGACAGGUGCUUUCAGAUGCACCACAGAGCCACAGAAAGCAGGACCGCUCCUGUCCAGAUGAGGAUGAAAAUAGGUACCUGUCCUGGCAUGUGGCCCAACUCCAGAGUGUGAUUUUGGAAGGGAGAGGGGGAUAAUCAUACUGGGUUUCUAAGGAAUGUCAUCUAAAGCAGGACCUUACACUGACAUCACAUGGGGACAACACCGCAGGGUUUCUCAGCAAACAUCUGAUAUAGCAUAUAAGGGAGGAAUAUGAUAUUUUUGGGGGGGAAAGGGGGAAAAGGCAAGAAAUCCUAUUCAGAACUAGAGAGUUCAACAAAUGAUUUCUGCAAAGAAAAAUGCUAUUCUUUUAAUGCCAGCACCUUUUAGUUGUAGGACUUAAAAGAGUUUGGGGUUCUUUGUUAACCACUUGGACUGAUGCCCAACAGUUGUUUUCAUUUAUCCUCGACAUUCUCAACUGCUCCCAUUGAAGUGAGAUAAAGUAGCAGAAAGAAAAAUAAACGGGGCUUCUUUCUCCCCUCUUUCCCCAGCCGCUGGGGUCACUGUUGUGUCUUGCUCUCCGGAGCUCUGUGUGGGUGCCACACAAGAGGCAGGGGGAGGCAGGAAGGACAGGCUGUGGCUGUGGUGAGGGGCUCCCAGAGCUCAGCUGCACCUCCCAGCUCUGCUCCAGCCUUCCUGCACUGCCUUUGCCAAGUCACUUCACCUCCCCGUGCCUCGGUUCCUCAUCCGAGAAAGGCAAUAUCGCUUCUUUUUUCUCAUCUUGAUCUCUUCUCAUCUCUAGCUUUGCAUCUG